GUGGGUAUAGCUCAGUGGUAGAGCGCAUGCUUAGCAAGCAGGAGGUGCUGGGCUCAAUCCCUAGUACCCCCA
rnacentral:tRNA from 1 species